GCAGUGUUGACAUGAGCAGUAGUUGUAAUAGCAGCAGCGACGGCAGCACGUUUCCCACGGGGGGCAGGCGCAAUGCUAGUGCUCCUGUCUGUGCUUCCACUGCAGCCACAAAACACAACUGAGGGAUUGAGGUUCCCUGCCCACUUUAGAGGCCGGCAAACAGGACCAGAGCCACAGUUGGGGAGGUGCAGGGCUCUGUACCGCUGAGGCCACAGCACUCCCCAGCCGAAUGCUGGUCGCCGCCCGACACGGGGAACAAGCCGAUCUCAGAAAUGGCCACAGCAGAGAAGGAAGAAGGAGAUUUGAGACCCAGAGAAACAGAGGAAGAGGCCAUGAGAACAUGGAGGCAGAGACUGGAGGGCAAUCAUGAACUAAAAACCACCAAGGAUUGCAGAAGUCACCAGAGGCUGGGAAAGAGGCACAGCAUGGAUUCUUCCACAGAGCCUCCACAUGGAACCAGUACUGCCAAAACCUUGAUUUCAAAUAUCUGGCCUUAAAAACUGUGAAUAAAUAAUUUCCUAUUAAGUCACUCGGUUUGUGGCUAUUAGUCAUGGCAGCCCUAGAACACUAAUAUGCUGUCUAACAGAAAAUGUGUGGCUCCCUGUCCUAGACCAAUAUGUCGGAUACAUAAUUUGUGUGAUAUUUGAGCUCAAGAGAAGACCACCACCUUGGGAAGUAGCAGAGAGCCAUUCCCCCUUCCUAUAUUUCUGUCCCAUUCUCCCUUCCUAUAUUUCUGUCUCUGGUCAUACAAUUGGGCUUUCUGGCACACUGCUGUCUGUGCUAGAGGGUGUGAGGCAGAACAUUCCUGUUCAUGUGACUGUUCAGGUGGCUCUUUUGCAAGUCCAAUUAUUCCUAUAGGUGGCUUUAUUGAGUGUUGAAGUAUCCAAUAAAGACACUGCUUUUUUCUUAUGAGAUUGUAUUUAAAUUUUUAAAAAUUUAAUUAUAAGAUAGCCAUCAAAUAUAAUAAGGUCUUUAUUCCUGAGGAAGUCUAAAUGGGAGAAUGUAGAAUAUGGUUACUGUAGAGAAAAAUGGGCUAGCCGACUGACAUCCCAAGCUAAGCAGAUGUGCACACACAGUUCCAGGGUCAGUAAGACUUCCUCCUCCUCAGGUACAGCAAAUGGAGAAACAGAAAGCUGCUCCCUAUAAGCACUUCCUGGAGCAAAAUGGGGAGUUGAAACCAGCAUGCCCACUUUAAUCUCUCUAAAAAUGCCAAUUAGAAUAAGCUAUACCUCCUCCCCUGGAGCAGAGCAAGAGAAAGGGUGGUAGAUGCCAGAUGGGUCUCACCAAUGAAGUUGCCUCACCAAGGAAGGAAGAAGAAUAUCCUGUUAUAAAGUCACAAGCCUACAUUUGAGAGGGAAAACCCACAGAAGAGCUUGGUGACCUUUCCCAAGACAGCUUUAGCAGUAAUUAUGACAAUUAAAGUAUGCUAAAGUGCUGUGUGAAUGAAUUAUCCAAUUAAAAGUCAGUCAUUCUUUCCUCAGCGUCCUAAUAACUUUUUGUCUAUAUUUUAUCAUAGAAUUUUGCAAACGGUACUGGAUAUAUUGGUUUACGUGUCUGAUUUCUCCACUAGACUAUGAGAACAAGAACACUUACGUAUGUUAUUGAUUUCUAUAUUCUUAAAUACAUUGCAUGAUUUUGCAGUUCUUUCCUUCAUUUAAACCUUAUCUCUCUCACUGAAUUAUUAGCUCUACACAACUUGCUGCACAUCGCCUGAAACAACCAGAGCAGUAAUCAAUAAGGGCUGAUUGACAUCUUGUUUCCUGCUUGCUUCUUCACUUUUACAUAGGGUUUCUGCUUAGAUUCUGGUUCACAUUUUCCUUGUAUUUUGCAGCUCACUGAUAUGAAAGUGGAAGCAGACUCUUGGAAAUUAAAGACCCAUGUGAGCAUAAAUGCUUGAAACCUUUAAUUUAAAUCAUAA
rnacentral:lncRNA from 1 species